UACGUAGGGUGCAAGCGUUGUCCGGAAUUAUUGGGCGUAAAGAGCUCGUAGGCGGUUUGUCGCGUCUGCUGUGAAAACUCGGGGCUUAACUCCGGGCCUGCAGUGGGUACGGGCAGACUAGAGUGCGGUAGGGGAGACUGGAAUUCCUGGUGUAGCGGUGAAAUGCGCAGAUAUCAGGAGGAACACCGGUGGCGAAGGCGGGCUUCUGGGACAAGAUACCGCGUGAGGCACGAAAGCUAGGGGAGCAAACAGGAUUAGAACGU
rnacentral:rRNA from 1 species